rnacentral:lncRNA from 1 species
CUAGAAUUAGCAUCUGCUGGAUCACUGACUGCAUUUCCACAGAACACAGAACAAAGCGGUUAAGAUCCAGGGCAUUGAGCCACGCCUUAAAUCGAAGCAUUGUCCACCUUCUAACCCCAAGCAGACACCAAGAGGGAGCCAACAACAGGGAUCCUGAGAGGCAAAGGGAGUCCAAGGAGCUAUGGGGAGAACUUUCCAUCUUUGGGGAUGAGAAUGUGAAGCAUCAAUUUAUGUGAAAACUACUGCUUGAUUAAAGACAAGAUUUUUGAAAGCCAUCCUGUAAAACACCCUGUCCCACACAUUGUUAAAGAUCUGGUACCUGAAACCACAGUGCCGAAAGUAGUCAAGUACGACUAUGCCUGAAGCCCAGAAGUGUGGUUUUCCACAGUGAGGAAGAUUUGCAUUGUGAAGCAGAUGUCAGAUAGAAAAAGCAAAACAGAAAUAUGAAGACAUUGUAAGAAUUUUGGGGUGAUUUCUGACCUGCUCAGUUUCCAUCAGGGCAUCCCAGGGUUUUUUGCCUUCUCAAUUUUGAACAGCAUAGCAUUUAAAUGAUCAUUUUUGUUUCUCUCCGCUGCUCCCCAAUCUAAACAACAAAAGAAGGAAUUUAACCUCAUAUCCUCGCUCUGAAAUUAGCUCUAUUGUCAAAAGAUGACAGCUGUAUCCUGAUUUCAAGAAUUUCAUGUUGGAAUAAAACAGCAUUUUUGAAACCAUUGUGUUAUUUCAAACAGAUCUGUAAUGGUCCCUGAGCAAACCAUUUUCAGAAGACUUGGGUGAGAUCACGUGAUGAUGGAGAAGGUCACCAGAGCCAGGCACCUUGUCCACACACAGGGCUUCCUUCCUCCAUGACUUAACCCAGAGAUGUAGACGGCGGGGUCAACAUUAAAUACCACAAACAGGCAAAAGAGCUUCAGACAGAAGGAUCAUCUUCCUGAAGACAAAAUAAUCAUCAUCCUUUGAGGGCAAAGUGGGCAACGUUAUGGGUAUCUUUUGUUUUGGAAUGGGACUCUACACUAUGGGAUUUCUAGUGGAGAGGACAGUUACCAGAGUCAGCACUGGAGGAACUUGUUUGGAAUUGAGCCUUGAUUCUGAAAAGAAAGUAUCAGAGGGCAGCAUUUGAACUGGCAUUUAAGGUGUCAACCAGGGGGAAUUUGGUGCCGACCAGUAAAAGGGGAGAAUCAAAAACAGAAGCUCCAUCACCAGGGACAGGGCCAGACUCCUGACUAGAAACUCAGUGGAUGUGCUGAAUCAUUCGGAUACUUUCCAGAAAAUUAUUUUACCUACUCAGAAGGCUGGGCAUCAGCCAAAACUGUCUGGAAAACCACAAGGAAAGACAUUUCCAUGAAGUAACUAGAGUUUUGGGCUUCUACUCUAGAGGAAUAUAAGAGGAACUUUCUUUAAAGAGUAUGCAGGUGGUUCCUUUUAAGCUCACCUGUCUGGUUUUUCAAACAGAUCAAGGGGUGAUGGCAGGGAAACGUCUCCCCUGGAAAUCUCACCCCUCCAUUUGCUAAAGAGAAGGAGCUUCAAUCCCUUGACAGGAUGAUGAAACAAUAAUAAACUGAUGUGACCAAGUCUCAUGCCAGCAGUCCUACCUGUGGCCCACCCUUCUCGUGGCCAACAAUGGCUUUUCUUAAAUAAAUAAAAAUCAAGAUUUGUACCACUCCUGCUGUAAGCUCUUCAGUGGCUCAUGGAUGAAUGAACAGGAUCACCAUUGGCACACAAGUCCCCCCACAGAUCACCUACUCAUCUUUCCACCCCAGCUUUUGCCAUUCUCUCCCCAUCCCACAAAUCCAUUGCCAUCCAAAGAUAAGAAAGAUACCAGAUAGGGCUUCCCAGUUGCAGCAGAGUGGACUGUCUUUACACUGGAGGGCUAUUCUUCCACAAAGAAGUCUUCUCCCCCGUGGGAAGGGAUUGGAGUACUUCUCCUAGGCACUAUGUGAGCAGAUGGUUGAGAAAUGAGCUAGCCCUUGAGCUUCUGCAGCAAGGGAGGGUCCCAUCAUGAGAGCAGAUGGUAUGGGAAAUGCACCAGUUUGGAAUUGGGAGGAACAAGUUUCAGGCCUGACUCAGAUACAGAUACUUGCCAUCAUCAGUAUGCCCUUGAAUGAACUAUAAAGUGUCUCUGAACCUCUGUUGUCUCCUUUGCAGUGUUGAGCCAAGGUUAUAUACCACACAGGGAUUGAGGAAGAGGAAUUAAGGCAGCGUACAUGGAAGUGGCUGGCUCAGUCAUCACUGGCUAAACGCUACUUGAAUUCCAUUCUAAAACUCCACAUAGAAAGGCAAUUUGACAAAAUUUGAUCAUCCCUUCACCCCAAUUAUCACCCCGUGAACUUUUCUUCCAUUUAUCACCCUUGGAUUUCGUAGCUCGGCACACACAGUCUUUCUCCCUCUCUCACUUCUUUCUUUCUCUCCUUUUUUCUUCUUCUGUUAAACCUAAGAAAUUCUAAUGCUGAAGAGGGUUUUCUUAAGGUGAUUCUCCUGGAAAAGAUGACUCUUUAAGCAAAAAUUCAGACUUUCUCUAGAGUGACCGAGACAUGUAGGUGGCGGUAGCAAUACAGGCUGACCUUCCAGCAUGGUCCUGGGAACCACAGGUCAGCUCUGCUGCAGAUGCCCAGACAGCGUGUCUCUUCCUGAAACAAAUCGACUUCCACAUGGCUCUUCUGAAGACUAAGAUGGCCACGUCUAUCUAAUGAACCCAUCCUGCCACCUCCAUUUGGGUCCUGGAAAUGGACCGAGCUCUUUUGUGGUUCCCUGUACAUUUCAGCGUGCAUCUUUAGCUAUGAGAGGUCAUUUGCUGCCAGUUCUGUUGGCUUUAAUGAGUCUCCUGCCUUGGACCUGGAGAGAGAAGUGGGAAAAUGUGAUUCUCAUGCCCAGGCCUGGCCUCCCUGAACUCACUUUUCCCAUUAAGCUUUGACACUGGACCAUGCCUUUGUUGGCAGAGGAGGUUUUUAUGGAUCUUAUGGGGGAUGCACAAUGGAAACUGGAAUUAAACUUGUGUUUCUCUUUUUUCUCUCUCUUUUCCUUGAUUGGGUUUUGACAGAAAUUAUUUGACUGUUUCCUUUUCACAUGGACAGAAUCGAGUAUGUUCUUUCAACGUUAUCCAAACCAUCAUGCUCAAAUGGAAAGGAAAGUUCUGUGAGGUUAAAUGGCAGAGACAUGAUGUCUACAGUAGGAACAAAGCUGCUUAGAUCCUUCCAGACGCUGUAAAUUCCCCUAACAUAAAAGACAAGAGUACAGACUCUGAGGUCAGAGGGACUCACGCCCAAAUCCCUUCCCCACCUCUCACAAGUUACUUAUUCUCUUUGAGUCCUGAUUUUCUCACUGGUCAAAUGGGAAUAAAAAUCCCCUCCUGGGCCGGGCAUGGUGGCUCACGCCUGUAAUCUCAGCACUUUGGGAGGCCGAGGCGGGUGGAUCAGGAGUUUGAGACCAGCCUGAUCAAAAUGGUGAAACCUCGUCUCUACUGAAAAUACAAAAAACUUAGCCAGGUAUGGUGGUGCACACCUGUUAUCCCAGCUACUCAGGAGACUGAGGCAAAAGAACCACUUGAACCCGGGAGGCAGAGGUUGCAG